GACGAAUGCUGGCGGCGUGCCUAAUACAUGCAAGUAGAACGCAGUUGCGAACGGGUGAGUAACGCGUAGGUAACUGCCUCAUAGCGGGGGAGAACUAUUGGAAACGAUAGCUAAUACCGCAUACUGUGAGAUGGACCUGCGUUGUAUUAGCUAGUUGGUGAGGGAAAGGCUCACCAAGGCGACGAUACAUAGCCGACCUGAGAGGGUGAUCGGCGGCACCGUGACUGGUACAUGGGCCAGAGUGCGUCGGGAGGCAGCUGUGGGGGAACUUCGGCGAUGGGCGGAAGUCUAGCCGAGUGACUGGGCGGGAGUGUAGAAGGUUUUAGGAUCGUAAUGACAUGUUUUUUGAGAAGCGGUAAAUUACCAGAAAGGGACGGCUAACUACGUGCCAGCAGCCGCGGUAAUAC
rnacentral:rRNA from 1 species